UACGUAGGUGGCAAGCGUUGUCCGGAUUUACUGGGCGUAAAGAGCGCGCAGGCGGUCGGAUAAGUCGAAUGUGAAAGCCCCUGGCUCAACCAGGGAGGGUCAUUCGAUACUGUUCGACUCGAAGGCAGGAGAGGGAAGUGGAAUUCCGGGUGUAGUGGUGAAAUGCGUAGAUAUUCGCAAGAACACCAGUGGCGAAGGCGGCUCACUGGCCCGGUACUGUCGCUGAGGUGCGAAAGCGUGGGGAGCAA
rnacentral:rRNA from 1 species